UACGGAGGGAGCUAGCGUUGUUCGGAAUUACUGGGCGUAAAGCGCGCGUAGGCGGCUUUGUAAGUUAGAGGUGAAAGCCCGGGGCUCAACUCCAGAACUGCCUUUGAUACUGGCGAGCUUGAGUUCGGGAGAGGUGAGUGGAACUGCGAGUGUAGAGGUGAAAUUCGUAGAUAUUCGCAAGAACACCAGUGGCGAAGGCGGCUCACUGGCCCGAUACUGACGCUGAGGUGACGAAAGCGUGGGGAGCAAACAAGG
rnacentral:rRNA from 1 species